CCUACGGGUCGCAGCAGUGAGGAAUAUUGGUCAAUGGACGAGAGUCUGAACCAGCCAAGUAGCGUGAAGGAUGACUGCCCUAUGGGUUGUAAACUUCUUUUAUAUGGGAAUAAAACGUUCCACGUGUGGGAUUUUGUAUGUACCAUAUGAAUAAGGAUCGGCUAACUCCGUGCCAGCAGCCGCGGUAAUACGGAGGAUCCGAGCGUUAUCCGGAUUUAUUGGGUUUAAAGGGAGCGUAGGUGGAUUGUUAAGUCAGUUGUGAAAGUUUGCGGAUCAACCGUAAAAUUGCAGUUGAAACUGGCAGUCUUGAGUACAGUAGAGGUGGGCGGAAUUCGUGGUGUAGCGGUGAAAUGCUUAGAUAUCACGAAGAACUCCGAUUGCGAAGGCAGUUCACUGGACUGCAACUGACACUGAGGCUCGAAAGUGUGGGUAUCAAACAGGAUUAGAUACCCCGGUAGUC
rnacentral:rRNA from 1 species